UCUUCCUUAUUAUCAGUCUCUCUAAACUUUUGUUUGGCUCUAAUGGAUGCAUCAAGAGUCUCUGUGUUUGUGCUCCUGAUUGCUGUCCUUAGUCUUGUAUUAAGUUCUCCAGCAGAGCGACAGCAGCGAGGUGAAACUGGCUUGUUGCUAUCACGAGUGAUCAGAGACCACGAAGAUGCUCAUGGUGACCUGCCCCAGCUCAGACUACAGCUCCAGGAUGAGGAAGGUGGCAGUUCAGCUUUUGAACGUUCUGUAGUGGUGAAGGGAGGAACUAAGGGUGUUUGAAGGUGGUGUGAGUCUAAGGGAUGGCGUUCUCUGCAGCUAUUGCCCUGUGCUGUGAACUUGCAGCAGGCCACCAGUACAUGCCAUCUGAAUUGUCAUGUGGGUCUGCAUGGUCACAGGCUCUGGCAAUUGAGUCUACCCUGCAAAUGGUUUCUGAAUAAAUGUUCUCAAACUACU